UAAAUUUUCCUUUUUACUCCUUUUGUAAUAAAUAAAUGACAUUAGGGUUUGUUUAGGAACUAUAAAUAGGGGUUGAAAAACCUCUCGAACGAUGCUUGAUGUUAGAUAUUAUGUUUUAGAUAUUUUGUAAAGACGGGAGUUUUCUCUGCCUUUCCUUCUCAUUUUCUCUUCACUUUCUUUCUAGCCAAACACCCUCUAAGGAUGAUUUCUCAGAGGAUGAGUGGCUAAGUUUCACGUUUCUUGGAGUGAUGGAAGCUAGGUAAAGGACCCGAAUGCAAAAGUGGGAGUUUUCCUUGUUUUAAACGAAGGUAGUUGUGUAUCAUUAAUGGUUUAUAUUUCAAGUUUCAGCUUUAAUCCCUUAGAAUCACCUUGAAUGGCCAAUACUUGGUAAGC
rnacentral:lncRNA from 1 species